rnacentral:rRNA from 1 species
GUGCUUGGGCGAGAGUAGUACUAGGAUGGGUGACCCCCUGGGAAGUCCUCGUGUUGCACCCCCUCCUUCUUUUAGCAUCUAUUUUCCAUUUUGGGGAAAAUGGUGAAAGGAAAUGCGCGUACGAGUGGACGUGGCUUAGUGAACACGCACGCGCGACGUAAAACUCAAAACGCGCGACACCGACACGUGGAAAUAUAGGAACAAAAUCGGACAGUCCUAAAAGUUGGGCAUAUAGAAGUAAAAACGGAUAAGGAAAA